UGCGUAGGCGGAUUAAUAAGUCAGUGGUGAAAACCUGCAGCUUAACUGUAGAACUGCCAUUGAUACUGUUAGUCUUGAGUACGGUCAAGGUAGGCGGAAUGUGUAAUGUAACGGUGAAAUGCUUAGAUAUUACACAGAACACCGAUUGCGAAGGCAGCUUACUGGACCAUUACUGACGCUGAGGCACGAAAGCGUGGGGAGCGAACAGGAUUAGAUACCCUGGUAGUCC
rnacentral:rRNA from 1 species